AAAUAUAAUCAAAUACUUAAUUAAAAACCAUAUAAGAUUGACGACCUGAAAGAGGAUGGAUCAAAUGCAACUUUGAUGGCUCAUUCGUUAAUGGAGAUGUAGAAAGUAAAGCAGGUUGGGUUGUUCGGGAUAGUAAUGGAAGUUAUCUACUGGCGGGUCAGGCUAUAGGAAGAAAGGUGGACAAUGCUCUGGAGAGUGAAAUUCAAGCGCUAAUCAUUUCAAUGCAGCACUGUUGGAGUCAUGGUUACAAACGGGUUUGCUUUGAAGGAGAUAACAAGAUGCUGUUUGACCUAAUCAACGGAUCCAAGGUACAUUUUGGCGUUCACAACUGGAUACGAGACGUUCAUUGGUGGUCAAGGAAGUUUGAAUCAAUCCAUUUCAAUUGGAUAAGAAGACAUCACAAUGUUCCAGCUGAUAUUCUUGCUAAAGCUCCUCUCCAAAACCAAUCUUUAUUCCUUAAUCAUUUUUGGGUUCCUAAUGUAAUAAGCUAUGCUUUACAUUGUGACUACACUGCUGAUUUAUAAAUCAAUAAGAUGAUGAUGACAAAAAAA
rnacentral:sRNA from 1 species